AGUCCUACGGGGGGCAGCAGUGAGGAAUAUUGGUCAAUGGGCGGGAGCCUGAACCAGCCAAGUCGCGUGAGGGAAGACGGUCCUAUGGAUUGUAAACCUCUUUAGGCGGGGAGCAAUGCCGGGCACGCGUGCCCGGAGGGAGAGUACCCGCAGAAUAAGCAUCGGCUAACUCCGUGCCCGCAGCCGCGGUAAUACGGAGGAUGCGCGCGUUAUCCGGUUUUAUUGGGUUUAAAGGGUGCGUAGGCGGAUUUUUAAGUCCGCGGUAAAAUGUCCGGGCUCACUCCGGGCCGGCCGU
rnacentral:rRNA from 1 species